GGUGUGGUUUCCUGUAGUGUUGUAGGUCAACAACCAUCAAGCUGGAGGAGGUGAGUGGUGUGGUUUCCUGUAGUGUUGUAGAAGGUCAACAGCCAUCAAGAUGGAGUGGGUGAGUGGUGUGGUUUCCUGUAGUGUUGUAGAAGGUCAACAGCCAUCAAGAUGGAGUGGGUGAGUGGUGUGGUUUCCUGUAGUGUUGUAGAAGGUCAACAGCCAUCAAGAUGGAGUGGGUGAGUGGUGUGGUUUCCUGUAGUGUUGUAAACUGACACUGACUCCUCUCCUACUGCUUGUCAGGUUUUCUUUAUUACAUCUGAGCGUUUUACACAUCAAUCUGCUUCUUGAUGCAUUAUAAAAUCUAGGCGCCCAUACUGACGUGUCCUCUCUUUAUUAUUGGGCCCACUAAUAACCAGUAUAUAAUAACGGUCCUCCUGUAUAGCUCCGUUGGCUUUGGUAUGGUGCUUGCAACUCCAGGAUUGUGGGUUGGAUUCAUAUUUGGGGACUCUGUUUUGUUAAAUUCAGUCUGGUAUGAGAAAGGUAUUCACAGUCUGCGGAAAGCUGAGUAUCUUUGCUAUUGAGCUGUGCCUUAAAAUCAUUGGUGUGAUUUGCUAAUAUAUAUGAGCAUACAAAUGAGUAACGGCAGGCUGAGCCAAGGACCUCAUUUCAAGAUGGCUGCUGCCUACAUUCCGAUUAGCAUUGUGAAGCAUAAACUAAAUAAACACGGAACACGUCGAUACACACCGAAAGCGGUGACUCCGCAGAUCAUGACGAUGUGUUAUUCAUCUGCCUGUGACCUACCGUUAUUGAUCACCAGCCCCGAGGGUCAAAAUGUUUAUUUCACACAACGUUUUCACCAAACAUCUUACAAUGUACGCUUCGAUUAGGUCUGUGUUUGAGCUAUAGUCAUAUGUAGGGGUAUGAAGUUAAUCCUUAGGUUGGUAGGAGCAAAUCUAGUCUAUUGCUAAUGUUAUUUGAUGAUGUAUGACUUAGUGGCCACGGCGAACGUCCACCCACGGCGAACGUCCACCCAGUGUCUAUCUUUGCGCAUCAAAAAUAUGAAGUUGCCUGCUCUUUACAUCCCGUGGGCAUCCAUUACACACGGGAUUGGCUACUAUGGCGCCUUGACAAUCUUGUAGCCACUGAGAUAAGCUUUUCGGGGAUAUGCAGUUGACCUGGGUCGAAUAAAGCAAGCUUGUAACCUUUUUAUGCGUAAUGCGAACUAUUGUUACCUGGCUCAGACACGAGACGCACCAAUCACGCUCCACUACAUUGUAAACAUUUCAUCGCUUUAACAUAAAAUAUUUCUUCUCGGGGGGGGGUAAGAACUAAGAAUACUGAAAAGGAAGCUAAAAAGAACCACUAUGAGUAAGUAUACCGACAUAGAAGCUUUGAAUAAAAUUCUGGACGGACUCGGAUCAGGGGAGCGAUCUGGACAACAAGGAUUUCGACUCGGCCGACAAAAAGAUUGCUUUCUAGAAGGAUUGGAUCCAUGUUUAGAUCCGAGGAUGCAGAGGAUUUUGAUGAUGCUGUUUGGGGGCCACACCUCCCCAGCAAGCACCCCCCCCCCCCCCCCCCCCCCCCAUCUUCUGUCAGAAAUGACAGUUCACUUUUUGUUCCCUGACAGAGAGGGACUGCUUCAUAGACUAUCACAACAUGCACAAGCUACGGUGAAAGUGACAUCUAAUCAUCUACACCUGGGAUGUAAAAACAAACACGAAUGCCAUUUGGAAGUUCAGCUUAUUUAUGUUUUUGCAAAAAAAAAAUUGUGAAGGACACGUGUGUGUGUGUGUGUGUGACCAAGUUUGUUUGAUAAGACCUAUUUUUACAUUUGGUUUAUCUGUUGCUUUUUAUAUUGUUGUGAACAGUUCAUUUGUAUGUGGGACCAAUACAUUAGAUAUGCCUAGGCUAAAUGUUCAGGCACUUUGGAGAGUGCCCCUGAAACCACCACAAUGUUUGAGUGACGUUGGUGUUGUAGAAAUGUAGUUUUUAUAGUGAACAAUAGUAGUUAGUUACUAAUCCAGUGUGCAAAAACAGUGCAGUUACCAAAUUCGGACACUUUCGGACACUUUGGAGAGGUUGAAAGGACACUUGAAUGUACCCUGGACACCCCAUAACACCACCAUGUUUGAGUGAGGUUCAUAUGGUAGAAACAUUUUAUACUGAACACAUAGCAUUUAGGAAUUGCAAAUAUGUAAUAGCACUGGAAUGAUCUAAUUUGGAGAGGUUUAGGGACACUUGGAAACGUCCCAUGACCACAACUGACACCACUUACUAGAACAUCUGCCCAUUUUGAGUUGUCAGGUCUAUAAAUUCCAUUUUUAUUUUUAUGAUAUUGUUCACAUGUUGUGGAAGCCAUCUGAUGUAUUUCCUGCUCUGGGCAUCAAUAAUUCACUUAUAGCUUGUCAAUGAAAGAUGACUUUCAAAAUAAAUAAAAAUUAAAACACCGGUUA